rnacentral:misc_RNA from 1 species
AGGAAAGUGGGGAAUUCAGAUGGA